AAGCUAUUGCAGGAGUUCAAGCAAAAGGUUGCUGGCUGGAUUAGGUUGCUAAUGGUAAAGGCAAAGGUGGGGAGAAGUGGUUGGAUUCAGAAUAUAUUUCCAAAACAAGCCAGUGGGAGUUGUUGACAAGAUUAGAAACUGAUGGGAGGGGCAGAAUUAAUAAUAAUUCCUUUCUGGCCUGAGCGGUUGGUGAACAGGAAUGCCAGUAACUGAGAUAGGGAAACCUGGAUGGAAAAUAGAUUUGGGGGUGAGAGAAGAGGGGAGAAAUAAAAAGUUCUGUUGGGUUUGCCUAUUAGAUGUUCAAUAGGAUAUGUUUAGGAGACAGGUGAAUACGUGAGUCUGGAGCUCAGAGGCGAGACCGGGACUAGGAUACAAAUUUGGGGAUGCUCAGCAUAUAGGUAAUUUUCAGAGCCAUGAGACUGGUAGAGAUCACCCAGAAAGGGUAGAGAAUGAAGAAAAAGAGAAGAAAGAGGGCAGGGAGUGGGGCAUCAGAAAAGUAGAUGGAAUUAAGUGAAAAAGACUGGGAAGGAGCAGCCAGCAAGGGAGAAGGAGUCAAAAGCCAAAAGGAAAGGUGUUUCAAGGAGGGAAAGCCAAAUGCUGUAGAGAAAAUCAGGUAAGAACAAAAUUGGCCAGUGGAUUUUGCAAGAUGGAGACACUUCCAGUAAAGCAUUGAGGACAGAUACUUCUGGACUGGAACCAGCGAAAGAGAGAAGAGGAGGUCACUGCCCAAACAAGAUGCAGGUUUUUGCUCUCCGGGACCUGCCUGUGCUCAGGCACAAGGGGCAUGUGCAUCCCCAGCCUCCAAGAGACUGAGAAAUGGGGAAAAUGAAACUUGGAAUAAGAUGAAUUCAACGUUGGAGGCAGCAGAGGAGUAACGUCCACUACAGAACAAGAUUUCCAGGCUGCAACACACGCUCAGCCUCAGCGAGACCGCUCUGGCGGAGGCUUGGCAGAGAAGAUGCUGCGGAAGAAGAAAAUCUGGGACUUUAGAGCCUUUACACUUGAGUUUACAAAGGGAAGUGGAUUUUAUUUUUAAACUUUAAUUUCUCUGAGGAUUUAAUAAUUGGAGGGAAUGCAUAUUCAAAUUAUGAUCUGGAAAUGUAUCUGGGGACUAGGUUUAUGCUGUCCUGAGGUAUUCAUGCAGCCUCUUCUGAUACAAGGUAUAAUCUGAGAUGAAAAAAUAGAAUAAAAGUGAAUUUCCAGCCUCCAGGGCUGCAUGGCCCUCAGUAGUAUCUAUUACAUUUCAGAGUCUUCCAAGUCCAAAGACCAAAGUGUCCACUCCUGGCCCACAAAGAACAGUGGUGAACAGAGAAAGGCCGCAGGAAGGCAGCCGCAAGACCCAUCCUAUUCUACUGUCUUUCACUUGAAGCGGGCAGCCUCUCUGUGGGGUUGCCCAGAAAUGUGUGUGUUAAACC